UACGGGGGGAGCAAGCGUUGUUCGGAUUUACUGGGCGUAAAGGGCGCGUAGGCGGUCGUGACAAGUCACUUGUGAAAUCUCCGGGCUUAACUCGGAACGGUCAAGUGAUACUGUCGGACUAGAGUACAGAAGGGGCAACUGGAAUUCUCGGUGUAGCGGUGAAAUGCGUAGAUAUCGAGAGGAACACCUGCGGCGAAGGCGGGUUUCUGGGCUGAUACUGACGCUGAGGCGCGAAAGCCAGGGGAGCGAACGGG
rnacentral:rRNA from 1 species